UACGGAGGGUGCAAGCGUUAUCCGGAUUCACUGGGUUUAAAGGGUGCGUAGGCGGGCAGGUAAGUCAGUGGUGAAAUCUCCGGGCUUAACCCGGAAACUGCCGUUGAUACUAUCUGUCUUGAAUAUCGUGGAGGUAAGCGGAAUAUGUCAUGUAGCGGUGAAAUGCUUAGAUAUGACGUAGAACACCGAUUGCGAAGGCAGCUUACUACACGAUCAUUGACGCUGAGGCACGAAAGCGUGGGGAGCAAACAGG
rnacentral:rRNA from 1 species